rnacentral:rRNA from 1 species
CAGUAGCCGCGGUAAUACGGAGGGUGCAAGCGUUAAUCGGAUUUACUGGGCGUAAAGCGUGCGUAGGCGGCUUCUUAAGUCGGAUGUGAAAUCCCUGAGCUUAACUUAGGAAUUGCAUUCGAUACUGGGAAGCUAGAGUAUGGGAGAGGAUGGUAGAAUUCCAGGUGUAGCGGUGAAAUGCGUAGAGAUCUGGAGGAAUACCGAUGGCGAAGGCAGCCAUCUGGCCUAAUACUGACGCUGAGGUACGAAAGCAUGGGGAGCAAACAGGAUUAGAUACCCCAGUAGUCCCUGUCUCUUAUAC